UGGGAUAUCUCAGUUGGUAGAGCACGAGACUCUGAAUCUCAGGGUUGUGGGUUUGAGUCCCACAAUGGGCAAAA